rnacentral:misc_RNA from 1 species
UUGUCAUUGUUUAAGAUACAUUCACGUUCAAUCACACAAAAGUUUGUUAUUUGAAAACGGCCCGAGGGCCAACGGUUCACAGAGGUGUAAGGAUUAUGAAUCAGGCCAGAGGCCAAUCACUAAUGAUCCUUCCGCAGGUUCACCUACGGAAA